rnacentral:rRNA from 1 species
UACGUAGGGUGCAAGCGUUAAUCGGAAUUACUGGGCGUAAAGCGUGCGCAGGCGGUUGUGCAAGACCGAUGUGAAAUCCCCGGGCUCAACCUGGGAAUGGCAUUGGUGACUGCACGGCUAGAGUGUGUCAGAGGGGGGUAGAAUUCCACGUGUAGCAGUGAAAUGCGUAGAGAUGUGGAGGAAUACCGAUGGCGAAGGCAGCCCCCUGGGAUAACACUGACGCUCAUGCACGAAAGCGUGGGGAGCAAACGGG